GUCCACGCCCUAAACGAUGUCUACUAGUUGUCGGGUCUUAAUUGACUUGGUAACGCAGCUAACGCGUGAAGUAGACCGCCUGGGGAGUACGGUCGCAAGAUUAAAACUCAAAGGAAUUGACGGGGACCCGCACAAGCGGUGGAUGAUGUGGAUUAAUUCGAUGCAACGCGAAAAACCUUACCUACCCUUGACAUGGACGGAAUCCUUGAGAGAUCGAGGAGUGCUCGAAAGAGAACCGUUACACAGGUGCUGCAUGGCUGUCGU
rnacentral:rRNA from 1 species